UAUGGAAUCUUCGGCAAUGGGGGCAACCCUGACCGAGCAACGCCGCGUGAGUGAAGAAGGUUUUCGGAUCGUAAAGCUCUGUUGUAAGAGAAGAACGUGUGUGAGAGUGGAAAGUUCACACAGUGACGGUAACUUACCAGAAAGGGACGGCUAACUACGUGCCAGCAGCCGCGGUAAUACGUAGGUCCCGAGCGUUGUCCGGAUUUAUUGGGCGUAAAGCGAGCGCAGGCGGUUUAAUAAGUCUGAAGUUAAAGGCAGUGGCUUAACCAUUGUUCGCUUUGGAAACUGUUAAACUUGAGUGCAGAAGGGGAGAGUGGAAUUCCAUGUGUAGCGGUGAAAUGCGUAGAUAUAUGGAGGAACACCGGUGGCGAAAGCGGCUCUCUGGUCUGUAACUGACGCUGAGGCUCGAAAGCGUGGGGAGCAAACAGG
rnacentral:rRNA from 1 species